GACGUGACGCCAACUUCCGCGCCGGAAGUGGAAGGCCGGGCAGCCCAGCUGAAGGCAAUAAGCUGGGCUCACCGCUGCAGCAGAGUUCUGUGCUAGCCGGGCAUAGGGGCGAGAGAAGGCCCAGAGGCGACGUCAGAGAGAAGCAACUGCGCCCCGGUGAAGAGAAGCUCGCCCAUCACCGGCUGGGAGCCAGCUUUCAGUGAAGAUGGCAGGGCCAGAACUGUUGCUUGACUCCAACAUCUGCCUCUGGGUGGUCCUACCCAUCGUUAUCACUCUUCGUAGACAUGAUCCGCCACUACGUGUCCAUCCUGCUGGAGAGCGACAAGAAGCUCACCCAGGAACAAGUAUCUGACAGGGGACGAGGCACCCACAGUCCCUCUCCCAUAAGCCUGCCAAGAAGAUUGAUGUGGCCCGUGUAACCUUUGACCUGUACAAGCUGAACCCACAGGACUUCAUUGGCUGCCUGAACAUGAAGGCGACUUUUUAUGAUACGUACUCCCUUUCCUAUGAUCUGCACUGCUGUGGGGCCAAACGCAUCAUGAAGGAAGCUCUCCACUGGGCCCUUUUCAGCAUGCAAGCCACGGGCCACGUGCUGCUUCACCUCCUGUUACCUGCAGCAGCUCCUCGAUGCCACAGAGGACGGGCAUCCCCCCAAGGGCAAGGCCUCAUCCCUCAUCCCGACCUGUCUGAAGAUACUGCAGUGAAAGCCCAAGCCCUAGCUUUCCCCAGUGAAGGACUAGACUAGGGGCCCCACGCUCAACUGGUAGUGGCCACAAGCCUGGCAGCUGUAGAGCCGCUAACCUCCCGACACCUCCCUCACCACACAGGACCCUGAGUGAGGAGGAGGGGCUGGAAACCUGGGAUGGGUUGGCCAAAGGAGAACCUCAGGCUCCUGGCCUGGCCCAGCUCCUUCCUGCCCAAGGUAGCUUAGCCCAUCCAGACUGGUCCUGAAGUCUGUCCCUCCAUUGGCAUGAAGUCUGCCCCUCAGCAGUCCGGCCUCACAGGCUGUACUUUCAUGGUGCUCUCUACCUUCUGGCCCCCAUCCCAGAACAUUCGUGAGUGAAUUCGCAAGCAUACUAGCAUGUGAUAUUAGGGAGUUUGCAAUAAAUUAUUGAUGCUGAUGUAUCUUU
rnacentral:lncRNA from 1 species